ACGUUGGCGCUUUGUGCUUUAUACGCGAUGCGGUUUUGUUGGCGUGCAGACGUCUUCACGGUGAAAAACAAAUGAAAAUUCAAGUCGAAAAAGCGCAUAAAACACUUUAAUUGAGCACAGAGCAGAACAAGCAAAACAAAUUGAACUUUUAUCGCAAGUGCACAAAUAAACAAAGUUUGUGUGCUAAAGUGUAUGUGUGUGUGUAAGACUGAGGUGAAGUGCAAUUGCAAUUGCAAUUUCAUACGUGUGUUGUAAUUGUUGUUUGUGUGUUAAUUACGUAGCAGCUGAAUUGACGUAAGGGGUGCAGGACGAUUCAAUAGGAAUUGGAAUCAACGAGUUGCGCCCAAUUUGUUGCAUUGUAAAGUGCACCUAAAAGGAGAACCUGUUGUUGUUUUUGUUAUUAUUAUCGCACAUAGUGGGACAGAGAAAGAGCGAGAGCUAAACAAGUGCGAGAAAGAGAACGAGAACAACACACAACGGCGGCAACAAGACGGAAAAAUCGAUUGUGCUCAUUUUUGUUUUGGUUCAUGCUCAUUCAUGUUAAUGCAAAUUUAGCGCGUGUGUGUGAGUGUUUGUGCACGCGUAUGUGUUCUAUGUAAAAGUUAACAACAACAUUACGACGAUAUCCAACCGAUUAACAGAGGACAAAAACAAUGCAUAUGGCAUGACUCAUGCAACGCUGCAUAUUAUCCAAAUUAAGCUAGAAACAUGAAAAAUCAUCAAAAGUAUGCAAAAUUACCCCAAGAUUUGGAUUUGAGUUUUCAAAGUGAUUUGGAUUUGCUGCCGGACACUGCAGCCGAUAUCGAUGUCGAUGAAUUCAAUUUGAGUGGCACGCCACCUGCCGGUUUAGUACUAAACGACGACGACGUUGACGGUGACGACGACGACGACGGCGGCGGCAGCAGCGGCAUCAUCGGUGGCGGUGGUGAGGACGACGAAGACGACGAAAUUGUCAUUGCAGCGCAAGUUGUGGGUGGUGUAAAAGCGGGCGGUGGCGGAGGGCUUCGUUUAGCCACACGUAAGCAACGUAAACAACGCAAGCAGCAGUUGGAGCAGCUGUACAAUAAGAAGAAUAAGAUCUGCGGCCUGGGCAGCGAUAGUGUUAUCGAGACGGGUUUAACCCUCACACCCGAGAUGCUGCUGUCCACGUCGGAGUCAUCGACGCACAGCGCCUCCGAGGUGGCAGGACGUCUCCAAGUGGAUGUGCGCACUGGCUUGAAAUGGACAGAGGCCAAAUAUAGGGCCAAGAUCAUUGGCCACAAUGAGCUGAAUGUCAUCGAGGAAGAUCCCACUUGGAAGAAGUACAUCGAGCAGUUUAGGAAUCCCUUGAUUCUGUUGCUUCUUGGCUCCGCGCUGGUGUCGGUGAUCAUGAAACAGUUUGACGAUGCCGUCAGCAUAACGAUUGCCAUUCUAAUUGUGGUCACGGUAGCCUUCAUCCAAGAGUAUCGCUCCGAGAAGAGUCUCGAGGAGCUGAAGAAGCUGGUGCCGCCAGAGUGUCAUUGUCUGCGAGAGGGACGCCUCGACACGUUCCUCGCUCGCGAACUUGUGCCCGGAGAUGUGGUGCAUCUGAAUGUGGGCGAUCGGGUCCCAGCUGACGUGCGUCUCUUUGAGGCCGUGGAUCUGUCGAUUGAUGAGAGCAGCUUCACUGGCGAAACGGAGCCAGCGCGCAAGAUCACAGAUGUGCUGUUGAACAAUACGAAUGUGAAGGAUCACAGCAACAUGAAGAACAUUGCUUUCAUGGGCACCUUGGUGCGUUGUGGCAAUGGCAAAGGCAUUGUGGUCAGCACCGGGGAGCGCAGCGAGUUCGGCGAGGUCUUCAAGAUGAUGCAAGCAGAGGAGGCGCCCAAGACGCCGUUGCAAAAGUCAAUGGACAUACUCGGGGCCCAGUUGAGCUUCUAUUCGUUCCUCAUCAUUGGCGUCAUCAUGCUGUUGGGCUGGCUGCAAGGCAAACCGCUCUCUGAGAUGUUCAACAUCAGUGUCUCACUUGCGGUUGCUGCCAUUCCCGAGGGUCUGCCCAUUGUGGUGACCGUCACCUUGGCCCUGGGAGUCAUGCGAAUGGCCAAACGCAAUUCGAUUGUCAAGAAACUUCCCACAGUCGAGACGUUGGGUUGUGUGAAUGUCAUCUGCUCGGAUAAGACGGGCACUUUGACAAAGAACGAAAUGACUGCAACGAUUAUUAUCACCUCGGAUGGUUAUAUGGCGGAUGUCACCGGGGCCGGGUAUAAUGAUCAGGGCGAGAUACACAUACGACACUGCAACAAUGUGGAAAUGGCCAAGUCAAACAUUACGAAUCUCCUUGAAAUAGGCGCCGUUUGCAACAAUGCCUACAUUCAGAAUGGCACGCUUCUUGGCCAACCGACCGAGGGAGCUCUUGUCGCUGUGGCCAUGAAGAACGGGAUGUAUGCCACAGCUGAGAACUAUGUGCGCAUUCAGGAGUAUCCGUUUAGCUCCGAACAAAAGAUGAUGGCCGUCAAGUGCAUUCACAAGUACAACAACAACAAGGAGGAGAUAUUCUUUGCCAAGGGCGCCCUCGAGACCUUGCUGCCCCAGUGCACCAAGUAUCAAUUUGGCACUCAGACUGUACCGCUGACCAAGCAGAACGAGGCCGAGUUCCUCGCCGAGGCCUACGAGAUUGGACGCAAGGGUUUGCGUGUGCUCGCCUUGGCCAAGGGUCGGUCCAUGCAGGACUUGAUCUACUGUGGCCUGGUGGGUAUCACUGAUCCGCCGCGUCCUCUUGUCCGGGAGUCCAUCGAGAUGCUGAUGCAGAGCGGUGUGCGCGUCAAGAUGGUCACUGGAGAUGCUCAAGAAACGGCCAUGGCUAUAGCAAAUUUAAUUGGCAUCGAUACCAUACAUCAUCAGACGCUGUCUGGCCAGGAGAUCGAUCAGUUGAACGAGCAUCAGCUGGACAAGGUGGCCAACAAUGUGAGCGUCUUCUAUCGCGUCUCGCCGCGCCACAAGUUGGAGAUUGUCAAGUCGUUGCAGCGCACUGGAAACAUUGUCGGCAUGACUGGCGACGGUGUCAAUGAUGGAGUUGCCUUAAAGAAGGCAGAUAUUGGCAUUGCGAUGGGCAAGAAUGGCACCGAUGUGUGCAAGGAGGCGGCUGACAUGAUACUGGUCAAUGAUGAUUUCCACACCAUUAUCGCUGCCAUCGAGGAGGGCAAAGGCAUCUUCUACAACAUUCGCAACUUUGUGCGCUUUCAGCUGAGCACCUCGAUCGCUGCACUCGCUCUGAUCGCGCUCGCCACACUGAUGGACAUUGCCAAUCCAUUGAAUGCCAUGCAGAUACUGUGGAUCAACAUCAUCAUGGAUGGUCCACCGGCACAGUCGCUGGGCGUGGAGCCCGUUGAUCACGAUGUGCUGAAGCAGAAGCCACGCAACGUGAAGCAACCGAUGAUCACCAAGUCGGUGGUGGUCAACGUGCUCUUGAGUGCCAGCAUCAUUGUGCUGGGCACUCUGUGGGUAUUCCAACGCGAGAUGGCCGAUGGCACGCUGGGCAAAACGAAGCGGGAUACGACCAUGACAUUCACCUGUUUUGUAUUCUUUGACAUGUUCAAUGCGCUGUCGUGUCGGUCGCAGACGAAGAGUGUGUUCACCAUUGGAUUGACCACCAAUCGCAUGUUCCUGCUUGCCGUUGCCUUCUCGAUAGUUGGCCAAAUGCUUGUCGUUUACUUUCCACCGCUCCAGAUGGUGUUCCAAACGGAGGCGUUAACGCCCUACGAUAUACUCUUUCUGGUCACGCUCACCUCCUCUGUGCUCGUCGUUUCGGAGAUCAAGAAGUGGUUCGAACGCUCGCUGGAGCGCAAGAUGUACAGCACACGCUCCGAGCUGGACUUUGUAUGACAAAACGCAAGCGCUAGAGAUGAGUUGCACCCAAAAGCCGAGUAAAUUAACAAAAAACUAAAAAAAAAUAUAAAACAAAAUCCAAUAAAAAACCACAAAAAAAUAGCAAAACUAUGCAAAAACCAAGUGAGGAGCGUGGCAGCAGAGAGAGAGGAGAGUAGAGAGCGGAGCGAAGAGGAGUGCGGAGAAUUAGUGAGCGACAUGUGUGUUUAAUUUUACAUUUGACUUAGUCAGCGCCAAAGCCAACAACAACCAAUCAAUAUGCCCAAGAUCGUGAAGCGAGAAUCGAAUAAACCAGUCGAACCAAAUUUGUAACACACGUCAAUAUAUAUAGUAUACCGUAUAUCGAUAUCAAUAUGUUAAACUGUCGAAUGUCUUCGGAUGCAGUCAAUUCAACAAUUAGUUUCUCCAAAUUAGUAGCGACAAAUCAGCUUCGAGCAACAAUCGAAUUGAGAGGCUACGAAAUUCCCCACCCCCCGACAAAAUGUAAAAUGAAAUGUGCAACAAGAAUAAGAACAAGAGUAGCAGGUAGAAUGGAGGAAGAUGCAAAGCUUAGCAAAUGGUUUUUUAAGAAUUUUGUUUAUUAAUUUAUUCGGUAAUUACAAUUCGUGUACAACAGCAACAACAACAAGCGAAACUCUAGCGCGAGAAACAAUGAAAAACGUUUUUUUGGAAACUUGUCGACAAUUCAAAAUAUGCAAAUAUUCUGCAUACGAAUUAAUCAAAUAUUUGUGUAAUUUGAAUGUGGUCAGACAACAAAAUGAAUUUGUCAAAUGUAUUUGAAAUGAAAAACAAUGCAAAUUAAUGCAAUUGAAAGAACCAAUUGGUAUCACUAAUCGAUUUAUUUGUAUUGCCAAGAGCAACAGCAAUUCACAUUUAGGUUAACAGCAACAAUAAAGCAAUAACUAAAACAAUACAAAAAGUUGAUUCAAAAUAGGUUUUCAUUAGAAAUUGAAAUCAAUUAUUGGUAUCUACUUAAUCAAAUAGUAAAACAAAAUGUUUAUUUAGUAUAUAAUCGAAAUAGUUCAAACGAAACCAUAAAAACAACAACAAAACAAAAGCAUUCAUUUGUAUAAUGAAAAGUACUUGAAAAUAUUUAUGAAACAACAACAACAAUACCAAUAUCUCUCGACAUCCCCGAUUCAUAUCAUCACAGCUCAGCAAAAGUUUAUAUUGCAAAUCAAUUAUCUAUUUACAUACAUACAUAAGUACCAAAAAUGACAUUGCACCGAAGCUUCUCAAGCACAACACAACACUUUACUUCUUGAAAUUAUUCGAAUCUUUGAAUUGAUUAGGAAACCGUAUAUAAAAAGUUUCAGUAAGUAGAUGAUGCAUAUCACCAAAUUGCACUUGGGACUGAUGGCAAGGAGAGCUACUCAGUGAACUUGUUAUCCUUGGAUCGCAGCACUCUUAGGAACAUCCUUUGCACUUUUCGGCACAUUUUGUCGAUAUUAAUCCGUGUUUUAGCAAUCGCAAUCGCAAACUUUUAUCUCAAUCUCAAGGCUAACAAAUAGUUACAAAAGUUGUAUACUUUAAUGGACCAAACAUUACAAAUUGUUUAAAUUAUUUACAAAGGAAAAGCACCACACGAACAACACACACACACAAAACACAUCGAGUUCAGGCAAAGCUCUCAUACUGCACACACUCAUAUAUCAUGGCAAAGAAAAUGUAACGCAAAAAAAUGGAAAACAAUAAAAAAUCACAAACAAAAAAAAGAAGGAAUGGAAAAGGAAAGGGGAGGAAAUAAUAUCUUAAAUUAAAUUUAAUGGAAUCGUUCUACAGAGCAAGCAAAAUUCAUUCAUUAUCAUAGCCCACACAUGCGUACACCACAACCACACAUCUCAUCCACAAUGGUAACAAUAAUUAGUAAAUUAAGUGUAUUUAAUUAAUUAAUUAACAAACUAUUGCAUAUGUGAAUGUCUGAAUAAUGAAAUUAAUAACAAAAUAAAAACAACAUACGAGUUAAAUAACUAGCGAAAUAUCAGCAACACAGGUAUAAAUUUAUAUACUACUAUAUACUUAUUAUUAUUAUUAUUAUCUAGAGUUCCAGUUCGAGAAUGGAAAUUUCAAAUGAAAAAUGCAAAAUGCAAAUGAGUGGCAACAGAUUUUGAUGAAUUUUUAAGGCAAAAGUAAUUGACGAUUUGCUUGCUAGCAAGAAUUUAUACUUAUUUACUGAUUAAUGAUAUUAUAUGCAUAAUACAAAAUAACUAAUACAAGGAUACUUAGUCGAAUGAAAUACCAUAUAACACGUGCUAUAUAUAUAUAAAUGUAAAUGUCUACAACUUCUUCUGGCUUCAAUAUUGCACAGCUAACUACACAUAAUGUACUACUUCUUCAAUACUUAUAAAAUAUGUAUUAUUUUCGAAGCUCAAAAUAUUUCGCUUUCAACACUUUCCUUUAACAAUUAGUUAAUUGUUUUAAAGAAUAUGUACAAAACUCUGGAACUAGUUUGUUUUCUGUUAACUCUGAUUCAAAGGAAACUAUACGCUAAUUAAACAAAACAGAAAAAGAAAAGAAAACUAUGUCUAACUGUGCUAUUAAAUGUAAGCUUAAAUAAUAUACUAUAUAUAGAUGAAUAUCCAUAAUAGAGCUAUAUAAUGCGAAUGCGAGUAUUUCCAAAAUAUUUCCUAUACUAUUUCUAUCAAGCUCUAAUGAUCAAAUUCAUCAAAUCUUAACUAAAACUGACGAAAGUAUUUCAAUAAUUUGACAUUUGAGUUACUAAAGUCGCGCUCUAUGAAUCUAAAAUACUAAACAAAUUAUACAAUUAACAAUAAUAUACCAUAUAUUAAAUUAAACCAAUCUCAAAUAAUAUGUAUCACCGACAAAACAGAAAUACAAAUAUUUACUAAUAAAAC